rnacentral:lncRNA from 1 species
AUAUCUUAACUCUUCUGUUACGCUGUAGAGACUAAGGCCUUUUUUUUAUUUUUUUCUUUUUUAUCCUUCGUUGAUUUGUAUGCCACACACUCGCUCACAAGGCGAACUGUAUUACUUACGAAUCAACGACGUUGAACUAUAUCUCCGAGUCUUACGACGAAUUCGGGAGUAUCGUGCUGCAAACAAUCUUCCUCCUAUCGAAGUUCCUGAUCUCAAAAAUCUUCUUUCUUCGUUGAUACCUGAGAUGGCAGAACCAGCUCGUGCUCUUCG